UUGUUUAUUUUAAGCUUUAUUCGUUUGUGGUCAGAAAAAAAUACACAAAGUUAUUUCAAUUUUUCUUUGUUUGCUGAGCUUUGCUCUGUGUCCCAGGAUACAAUCUAUUUUAGGGAAACUUCCAUGGGCUGCUGAAUAGAAUGUAUAACUUUUAGUGUUUGGUGGAAUAUUCUAUAAAUAUCUGUUACAUCCAUUUGAUUCAUGAUGCUAUUUAAUUCCAAAUUUUCUUUUUCUCAUCUAGAUGAACUGUCUAUGGGGUAUUGAAAUCACCUCUUGUUACUGAGUUGGGCAUAAUUUGUACCUUGACAUCUAAUACUUUGAUUUUUAUGAAAAAACAGAGUCCAAAUAUUGCUUCCAGUAGUCUCUGUAGGACUGGAUUGCUGGGUAUGAGUUCUUUCAACCUGUUUACAUGGAGGAAAAGCAGGAAGAGGCAUCCAUGGUUUGAAGUGAGUUAAGAAACUGUGGGAAAAAGCAGUGUCCUGAGGAAGAUUUAGACUAAUCUUGGAAGUGAAACUCUGGACAUGUUUGUGAGGGGUUUUCUACUUUAGGUUAAUUGAACUGAGAAGACCUACCCUAAAUAUGAGUGGUGCCAGUCCAUGGGCUGAUGUUCCAGAAUAAAACAAAGAAAAGGAGCUGAGCACCAGUAUUUAUCUCUAUCUCCUGACUGUGGAUAUCAGAUAUCCAUCUACCUCAAGUUCCUGAUGCUGCAUCUUUCCCACCAUGAUGGACUCUGUGAGCCAAAGUAAACCCUUCUUUUCCUUAAGUUGCUUUUGUUAGGUAUUUUGACAUAGCGAAAGACAAAAACAAAAACAAAGUGUUUCCUCUGAAAUAAACAAUAUAUUUGUACUGAGAUGUAUUAUUCUCUGAAAAUAACAAACAGCAAAGCAGAGCACAUGACAGGGGAUUGGAGAAGACAGAUUAACAGGCAGAUUUAUUCUAAACAUGUUAUAUGAAUGUAUGAAAUUUUCAAACAAUAAAAAAUAAUAUUUUUUAGCUUUC